AUUUUCAGCCUUGGGGUUUUCACCCCAGGGUCCCCAAAGUGCUUGGGGCAGAGUACAGCUCCCCUUUGAGAAAGUCGGUGCUCUGGACUGAUGAAAAGGACAAAAGAGAAGCCAGUUUUGAGAAGUCAAAGUGUGGGCAGAACGGUUCCUUUCUGGAGGCUUUAGGGGAGAAUCUGUUUCCUCGCUUCUCCAGCCUUUAGAGGCCACCUGCAGUCCCUGGCUCACGGCCAUCUUCAAAGCCAGCGGUCGCAUCGCCCUGACCUCCGCCUCCAUCAACCAUCUCCUUGCUGACCCUGACCCUCCUGCCUCCCUCUCACAACGACUCCUGCGAUGACGUGGGGCUGUGAAAGGAAAAAUCUCUUGGGUCCCUUCAAGCUGGGAACUGCUCAGGGCAAAACUCCCUCCCAUUCUAUUCAAACUCAUCCCUCUGCUCACUGAGAUAGAUGCAUAUUCUGAUUGCCUCGCUUACCAGAAACUCAAAAGAAUGCAACCGGUUGUCUCUAAACUCAAAAGAAUGCAACCAGUUGUCUCACCUACCUGUGACCUGGAAACCCCUUUCCUGCUUGGAGCUGUCCCCGUCUUUCUGGAUGGAACCAGUGUACUUCUUACAUGUAUUGAUUGAUGUCUCAUGUCUCCCUAAAAUGUAUAAAACCAGGCUGUGCCCCGACCACCUUGGGCACAUGUCGUCAGGACUUCCCGAGGUCGUGUCACGGAUGCGCAUCCUUAACUUUGUCGAAUAAACCUCAUAAA
rnacentral:lncRNA from 10 species